rnacentral:miRNA from 1 species
UGGCUUCGAUCGGUUACAAACU